rnacentral:rRNA from 1 species
UAAUCUGGUUGAUCCUGCCAGUAGUCAUAUGCUUGUCUCAAAGACUAAGCCAUGCACGUCUAAGUACAAACUAAAUGAUGGUGAAACUGCAAAUGGCUCAUUACAACGGUUAUGAUGCGCCCGGGAGUUCCGAUGGAUAUUUCCAGUAACACUAGAGCUAAUACAUGUAACUGCGUUUAUUAGUUUCCAACAGUCUGUCGCUGAGUCAUGGUAAACGGUUGAUCGACUCGACGUCCCGGAACAGUUUCCGCCCCAUCAGCUUCGAUGGUUGGGUAUUGGCCUACCAUUGCAACAACGGGUGACGAGGAAUUAGGGUUUGAUUUCGGAGAGGGAGCCUGAGAAACGGCUACCACAUCUACGGAUGGCAGCAGGCGCGCAAAUUACCCAAUGCAGACACUGUGAGGUAGUGACGAGAAAUAAUAAAGCGGGGCUUCUGUCUUGCUAUUAUAAUGAGGAAUAACCAAAGGCCAUUCCUAUUAGCAACUGAUGGGAAAGUCUGGUGCCAGCAGCCGCGGUAAUACCAGCGUCAGUAGCAUAUAUUAAAAUUGUUGCAGUUAAAACGUCCGUAGUCUGUACGUCGUCCGAGACUUUACUACAGCUCCGCAUGUUCUUCAGUGGGCGUGCCUAGUGUGUAGUUGCUCCCUUGAUCAAAAUAGAGUGUUCAAGGUAGGCCAAGUCUUCAUAUUUUCACAUGGAAUUGGGUGAAGGGACUCAAGAGCUUGAGUUUCUCGUCUUAGGAUCACCUGGGGUCAUUCGUACUCGUCCGCGAGAGGUGAAAUUCUUGGACCGGACGAAGACGGCCAGCAGCGAAAGCAUCUGUCAGGGGUGUUUUCUGCGACAAAGGACGAAGGUCAGGGGAUCGAAGACGAUUAGAUACCGUCGUAGUCCUGACUGUAAACUAUGCCGACUUGGGUCUUGCAGAGUCAACACUUUGUGAGACCCACACAGAAAUGAAAGUGUAUGGGUUCUGGGGGUAGUAUGGACACAAGUCUGAAACUUGAAGGAAUUGACGGAAGAGCACCAUAAGACGUGGAGCUUGCGGCUUAAUUUGACUCAACGCGGGAAAACUUACCAGGUCAAGACAUGGGCGUGAUUGACAGGCUGAUGACCUUUCUCGAUUCCUUGGAUGGUGGUGCAUGGUCGCACUUAGUUGGUGCAGUGAUUUGUCAGGUUAUUCCGGUAACGAACGAGACCUC